GCUCCUCUGACGUUAGCGGCGGACGGGUGACUACCACGUGGAUAAACCUACCGUAAUAAAGCACUAGGGAAUAACUUCGGGAAACCGGAGCUAAUACGGAUAAUAUAUUGAACCGCAUGGUUCAAUAUGAAAGACGGUUUUGCUGUCCUUAUAUAUGGAUCCCGCCGCAUUACUCAUUGGUCGGUAACGCUUACCAAGCAACUAUGCUACCAACCUGAACGGUGAUCGGCUACCUGGAACUGUACACCGUCGAGACUCCCUACGUGGAGUGCAACAGUACGGAACUCCUUCCGUCACAUGGGCGAAAGCCCUGACGGAGCAACGCCGCGUGAGUGCAUGAAGGUCUUCGGAUCAUAAAACUCUGUUAUUAGGGAAGAACAAAUGUGUAAGUAACUAUGCACGUCUUGACGGUACCUAAUCAGAAAGCCACGGCUAACUACGUGCCAGCAGCCGCGGUAAUACGUAGGUGGCAAGCGUUAUCCGGAAUUAUUGGGCGUAAAGCGCGCGUAGGCGGUUUUUUAAGUCUGAUGUGAAAGCCCACGGCUCAACCGUGGAGGGUCAUUGGAAACUGGAAAACUUGA
rnacentral:rRNA from 1 species